GGCGGCGUGCUUACACAUGCAAGUCGAGUGCGCAGUUUGCUGUAGCAAUACAGCAGAUCGGCGCACGGCGCACGGGUGCGUAACACGUGGGUAACCUGCCCUCCAAAGGGGGAUAACCCGCCGAAAGGCGGGCUAAUACCGCAUGACAUUCCGGUGGCUUCGGCCGCUGGAAUCAAAGCCCGCAAGGGCGUUGGAGGAGGGGCCCGCGGCCGAUUAGCUUGUUGGCGAGGUAACGGCUCACCAAGGCUUUGAUCGGUAGCCGGUCUGAGAGGAUGGCCGGCCACACUGGAACUGAGACACGGUCCAGACUCCUACGGGAGGCAGCAGUGGGGAAUCUUGCGCAAUGGGCGAAAGCCUGACGCAGCGACGCCGCGUGGGGGAUGAAGCUUCUCGGAGUGUAAACCCCUUUCGACCCGGACGAAACGCCCGCAAGGGCUUGACGGUACGGGUAUAAGAAGCCCCGGCUAACUACGUGCCAGCAGCCGCGGUAAGACGUAGGGGGCCAGCGUNGCUCGGAAUUACUGGGCGUAAAGGGUUCGUAGGCGGUGUGGUAAGUCGGAAGUGAAAUCUCUGGGCUUAACUCA
rnacentral:rRNA from 1 species